rnacentral:rRNA from 1 species
CACGUAGGGUGCGAGCGUUGUCCGGAAUUAUUGGGCGUAAAGAGCUCGUAGGCGGUGUGUCGCGCGGCCGUGAAAACCUGCAGCUUAACUGUGGGCUUGCGGUCGAUACGGGCAUCACUGGAGUUCGGCAGGGGAGACUGGAAUUCCUGGUGUAGCGGUGAAAUGCGCAGAUAUCAGGAGGAACACCGGUGGCGAAGGGCGGGGUCUCGUGGGCCGAUGACUGACGCUGAGGAGCGAAAGCGUGGGGAGCGAACAGGG